UACGUAGGGUGCGAGCGUUGUCCGGAAUUAUUGGGCGUAAAGAGCUCGUAGGCGGUGUGUCGCGUCGGCCGUGAAAACCUGGGGCUUAACUCUGGGCGUGCGGUCGAUACGGGCAUCACUGGAGUUCGGCAGGGGAGACUGGAAUUCCUGGUGUAGCGGUGAAAUGCGCAGAUAUCAGGAGGAACACCGGUGGCGAAGGCGGGUCUCUGGGCCGAUACUGACGCUGAGGAGCGAAAGCGUGGGGAGCGAACAGG
rnacentral:rRNA from 1 species